ensembl:lncRNA
GGAAGGCGUGGGGGAAGCUCGGUAUAUCCCAGUGUCUGAGGGACACCAAUAAGCCAUCAUUUUCGCCAUGACUUUGAAGGUCAUACUAAUCCCUUGACUAAAGGACCAUGGAUACCCAUAUUGUACAAAGGUCUCGUCUUGAAUAAAAUCAUGCUCUUUCUAGAAGCAUAAUGGCACCUAUGUAUUUUCAAUCUAGCAGGCAGGAAAUAUGAAAUCAUAUGUUUAUAGAACAACUUUUACACAGGACUGGGGAAAAAAGGAGCCUGCUCCAUGGAUCUUGAGUAAAGAUCAGUCUGCAGAGAGCUUCCAUCCCCCAGAUGACUGUGGAGCUGAACUGAGUUAGCGGACUCCUCUUGAGGACAAUCAUGAUAGAUUUUAGAAUGACCCAGAAACUCCUUUAGCUUCGUGAUACUUAUAAGAAAAGGGACUACAUACAGUUGAAUUGGCCAUGAAGACAGAAGGAAUGGCCCAUCCAAUAGGCCUUCAGUGGAGUGACUCAAUCCUCUUGGGAUCUCUCUCUUUAAGAGAAGUGUAUGAGGAUGCUGUCUCUUGGACUCUCAGUAUAAAAUAUCCCUUUCACGCUGGCAAUCAUGGCAUCAAUCUGAAUAAGCCAGCUGGCAAAUGAGCUGCCUAGCCAACCCUGAUCCUAAACCUUCUUCCUGAGUGUAGGGAACCGAAGAGCAAUAGUGCUUCUGGAAGAUAAGAGCUACUAGAUCCUUCAACUGGUCUUCACUGGCAGCAGGGGAAGCUUUCUGUAUUUGUGCUCUUCUCAGAGAAAAUGAUCAUUGACAGAAAAAUGAACCCAUACCAUGCCUUGGCUCAACAGAGUUGCACCUGGAAGAAGUGUCCAGAUGGGGCAAAUGCUGAGAUGAAGAUGAACUGGCUAUUCCUCAGUCCCAGAAGGAUCCUCGUUCCAGAGCUCCAAUUCCGUGUGGCCAGCUGCUCAUGGCUUUGCAAACUGGAUCUACCACAGCCAGCGUUAACGAAGAGUCCAGAAGACAACUCAUUUUUCCUUCUGAAUUCAAGGUCUGCUACUUCGAAAUCGUCCUUGAACCCUCACGUGCCCUCACUUAAGUCUCCCGGCAUCCCCAGUGGCCAUGCCUUACAGACUCACGUCUCCACGGUCUAUCCUGCGGUCCCCUCGUCUCCAGUCUAACUGCUACUUUAGCACAGUUCAAGCCCUCAGCCUGGACCAGCAAUCUCCCAUCUCUAAUUCCUUCUGCACAUAGCUGCCAAUGAGAUAUUUCUGGAGACAUGUCUGAGCGUGUUACUGCCUCCCCUGGCUCACUUUUGCCUCCAGGACCAAAUGCAAGUCUCUGUUAGCGUUGGCACCUUCAUAAGUUGACGCCAACAUAUUUGUCUCGGCUUAUCAUAGCUGCAUUCUUUCCCUUCAUGGGACAUUCGGGGUCCAAGGAGCUUCUCAGCCCUUUUCAGGGCUGCUCCUCUUCAUACAUGCCAUUUACACAGCCCUUGACUCUCACCUGCUCCUGAGAAACUGUAGCCUAGGCAGCUGCCGCAGUCCAGCAAACCAUCCAAGCCGACGGGCUAAGCCAGGUUAAGGGUAGAGUUAUGGGGGCGUCUACGCCAAGCAUGUGCAGACUUAGCCCAGUGGAAUGGGAAGAUGAGAACAGUUUGUUCUAACAGCCAUGGAAGUGGCUCAAGCAGACCCUGAGGAGUACUUAGAGCUCGAUCAGACGCCAAAGAUGCCCCGGUGGAGCUGGGGAUCCGAGGUUACGUGUCCCUGGAACUGCCGCAGUCUUCAUCACUCCUUCCCUAUUCGCACAGGGUCUGCAGAGGACUUGAUGAAGUCACAGCUAGGGCCACCCUCCUGGACUCUAAACUCUAGCUAGGUGGCCCUGACUCCCUGACGAAGAAUUUGAGUUAGAAAAGCCGCCCCUGGAAAGCAAUAUCCCCACGUGAAUUUCACAAAUUGCCUUUCUUUACACGCCUAGCCCAAAUUAACGAUCUUCUGCCACUGAGAAGGACCCUGUAUCGCUAUCAAAGCUUCUCUCUUCAUCAUCACUGAAACCUGCACUUGUUAGCUUCACAGCUUUGUUUUAUUCCAAGAAUUCCCGGAGAAGAUGGAGCCUGUCCUGCAAAAAGUCCCAGAGACUUGGCAGCUGCAUUUCGGAAGUCUUCCUGUUUUCUCUAAAGUCCCCUCAAACAUUCAUGUCAUCACUGACGUCACUGGCCCAUUUGGGAGCGCGGAACGCAGUCUGCAACUUCUGGUGCGCUCUUUAGAGUGACGAUAUCAGCACCUUUCAAGCCCAGCUGCACAGCGUUGAUGUAGCUUCAGCCAGCUUGGUGUUGCUCAACCCCGACUCACUUGGGAGGAGAAAUGAUGGAUUUGGCCACGCAAAUGUGCUCCUUUUAACUCCGCUGGAAGCAAUACUCGAAGCACUAGAGAAGUCAGGUCGUGCUGUGGAAAUAAAGGGAUUGUCGUGUGAUUUGUUAACUCCCUU